UACGGAGGGUGCAAGCGUUAUCCGGAUUCACUGGGUUUAAAGGGUGCGUAGGCGGGUUGGUAAGUCAGUGGUGAAAUCCCCGAGCUUAACUUGGGAACUGCCAUUGAUACUAUCAGUCUUGAAUACCGUGGAGGUCGACGGAAUAUGUCAUGUAGCGGUGAAAUGCUUAGAUAUGACAUAGAACACCAAUUGCGAAGGCAGCUUACUACACAGUUAUUGACGCUGAGGCACGAAAGCGUGGGGAUCAAACAGG
rnacentral:rRNA from 1 species